rnacentral:tRNA from 1 species
GGCCCCAUCGUCUAACGGUUAGGACGUCAGGUUUUCAUCCUGGUAAUUGGGGUUCGAUUCCCCAUGGGGUCA